UACGGGGGGGGCAAGCGUUGUUCGGAAUUACUGGGCGUAAAGGGCUCGUAGGCGGCCAACUAAGUCAGACGUGAAAUCCCUCGGCUUAACCGAGGAACUGCGUCUGAUACUGGAUGGCUUGAAUCCGGGAGAGGGAUGCGGAAUUCCAGGUGUAGCGGUGAAAUGCGUAGAUAUCUGGAGGAACACCGGUGGCGAAGGCGGCAUCCUGGACCGGCAUUGACGCUGAGGAGCGAAAGCCAGGGGAGCAAACGGG
rnacentral:rRNA from 1 species